GUUUAUGGCAAGGCAUUGUCAUUCUGGAACAUAGAUGCUUUCUGAGCCAGCUAUAUAGAUAAAGACACAGAGACGCAUAUAUUUUUAAGGCUUGACUUGUAUUGAGAAGCUUUGACUUGGGCUUUCUCCCAGCUAGUUCAUCUUCUUGCCUACAUCCAGCAUGUGCAUGUCUGUACCUCUCUGCUCCUUUGUAGUUUAUCCUGUUGCUUCCAUGCCUGUUGGCAAAUUUCCCUCCUCUAAAUUAUCUUCCAGCAUCCCUUUCUCUGCACAGCUCUGCUUUCCAUUUCCUGUUCAGCUAUUGGCCAUCAGGUCUUUAUAUUAAAGCCAAUGAACAAAUAAGAAGGAAUGUUUAAAGAGUAUGAGGCCAGCGAGGACAGUAGGAAUAACAAAACUAAGAUCUAGCCAGCACUCAGCUCUCUGCUGGCUUGGUAAUCAACAGUUGAAUAUACAGAGACAACCUUCAUAAUUAUUAAGCAUACAAAAGGUUAGAUAUCACUCACAAAUUUUGUAUCAUCAGCCUUCAUAGCCAAAUAGUAUCAGCCUGGGCUUAAGAAGUCUGGCUGGUGAGUGUCCUUCAGUGUCCUCUGCCACAGGAACAACCAUGAGGAGCCUACUGGCACCUGGGAGGAAAGCUCUUCCAUUUUCUAGAAUCUCCAAGCACCCUUUACUGACAAAGUGUCAUGUUCACUGAUAGAAUAGUACUGUUCUCUUAAGAGGCAGGUAGUAAAGGAUGCACUGUGGGGGCCGAGAGAUAAUAAAUUAGUAGUGAUUAAUACACCUUCAUAGCAUAACAGGCUUUCCUAUCAUACUCCGGUCUAAAAAUUACUGGUAAGGGGCAUCACACAAAAAGGUUCAAGAGUUAAAUAAACUUGGGAAUGACAUAUGCUAUUCUCUCUUUGAGAUCCACAGUACAUAUUAGUCCUGAGAAAUUCUACAGUAAAGAAAAUUAUUUUAAUUUUAAUCUUAGUUUUUGCAAUGAGAUUUUUGUUGUAAAAUCUGUUAUAUGUUGCAGAUGUCAUCCUAAAGACUUUCCCCAUUGAAAAUCAGAAUGAAAUUCAGACUUCUCAUUAUCACAUACAUUCUCCCCAAAAUCAGAGUUAAGAUGAGACUUCCCACCAUUACCAUAGUUUUUUAGCUAAUUCUCUAAAAUUCCGACUGUUGCAUUAAGAAAUUUUAAGGGCUGGUGACAUGGCUUAGUGGUUAAGCACCUGACUUACUCUUGCAGAGAUCUUGAGUUCAAUUCCCAGCAGCUACAUGGUGACUCACAGCCACCUGUGAUGGAAUCCGAUGCCCUCUUCUGGCGUGCAGGUGUACAAGCACACAGGGUACUCCUACAUCUUUUUUUUUUAAGUAUUUAAAAAAUAAAAAUAAAUUUUAAAAAGUUGAGAAAGUAAGAAUAUGAUGUCAUUUGGAAAUGACAUAAUUGUCACCUAGAAAUCCUAAGGUUAAAGAAUACAGAAUUUCUGUCGGGCGUGGUGGCGCACGCCUUUAAUCUCAGCACUCGGGAAGCAGAGCAGGCGGAUUUCUGAGUUCGAGGCCAGCCUGGUCUACAGAGUGAGUUCCAGGACAGCCAGGGCUACACAGAGAAACCCUGUCUCGAAAAACCAAAAAAACAAAAACAAAAAUCCCAGAAUUUGCUGCUGCAGGUAAAGCUCAGUGGUAGAGUUGGUGCAUAAUAUUUAUAAGAUUUUGAAUUCAAUCUCUAGUACCAAGGGGAAAACAAAAGUCUCCAGAAAAAUAAUGCAAAAGGUUAUAUAACUGAGUUCCAUGUAAUAGUUUAUUAAAAAGGAAGAUAAACACUGCAUGUUUUCUCUCAUAUGCAGAAUCUUAUGUAUGUUCAUGUAGGUACAACAUGUAUGUUCAUGUGCAUAUAACAUGAAAGCAGUGGAGGACUAUUUAAGUGAAGGAAGAAGACUUUUGGGGUGUAGCUCAGCAUCUGUCUAGCAUCUGUAAGACACUGAAUUGAAUCCCCAGCACCAGAAAAAGAAAGUAGUAAUUAGGGACUGUGAGUGUCGCUUCCUGAUAGAGCUCUGGCCUGGCAUGCAGGCCACUCCAGGUUUAACCCUCAGCACAACCAGAGGAGGAGAAGUUAUUAAGACCAUAAUACCUUUCUAUGAUGCUAUGAGUGACAGCUUAACAAUUAUUAGGAGAAAUGAAUUUUUUAUGUGAGUGGUAAAAAAGUAUAUAGUAUAUCUAGUGAUAAGUAUGAUAAAGAAAUGGGUAAAACAAAAUGUCACUUAGCUACCAUUUAGCUAGUGACACAAAAAUAUUUGUAUGAUGAAAUAAUAUACCAGAUUCCUGGAUAGUAAAGUGAUGUGACAAUGCUUAAAGUUAAUUAUAAAUAAAUGUAAUUCCCCAUUUGCUUGUUUGUUUAUUUGUUUAUAGUUAUUUUUCUUGAGACAGGGUCUUUCAACAUAACUCUGGCUGUACUGGAACUCAUUAUGUAGACCAGGCCAGCCUAGAACUUACAGAGAUCCACUUGCCUCUGUUUUCUUGUGCUGGGAUUAAUGGUGUGUGAUACCUGCCAGUUUCCCUUUUAAAGCCCUGAAAGACAUAACUUAGUCACAGAAAUCUUGUUUGUAGGAUAGUUGAUCACAUUGUGAACCCUGAGACUGUGCACUGGAAAAACCUGUUUCUUGUUGUGGUGUGGUUCUGCUCUAGCACACACCUUUAACCCAAGAGCUUUUCUGUAAGCAAGAGCUAAAUAAAAGCAACUGUAGGACAAGAGGCAGAUGAAGCAGCCAGUUGACAGGGAGUGAACAUAAGGAAACCCAGGAAAGAGAAGGAGGGUCUUUGAGUUGAAGGGUGUUUAAGACAGUUGGAGAAGGAGAAGGAAAGAGUUGUUUGCUCCUGGGAUGUCUGUGGCGUAGGAAGGUCAGCUCUGCCUUGCUGAGCUAGCAGGCUUUCACAACCGUGUUUGGAUUCGGAGUUUUCCUUUAGUAAAUCAAGUUUAUGGCACUUUAUUUUAUUAAAACAACAAAAUCUGUUUCAUGAACAUUGAUAAUGAAAAUAUAAAUAGC
rnacentral:lncRNA from 1 species